CGGAGGAUCCAAGCGUUAUCCGGAAUCAUUGGGUUUAAAGGGUCCGUAGGUGGACCGUUAAGUCAGAGGUGAAAUCCUGCAGCUCAACUGUAGAAUUGCCUUUGAUACUGGCGGUCUUGAAUCAUUGUGAAGUGGUUAGAAUAUGUGGUGUAGCGGUGAAAUGCAUAGAUAUCACAUAGAAUACCGAUUGCGAAGGCAGAUCACUAACAAUGCAUUGACACUGAUGGACGAAAGCGUGGGAGCGAACAGGAUU
rnacentral:rRNA from 1 species